rnacentral:rRNA from 10 species
AUGCCUACGGCCAUACCACCUUAGGCACGCCCGAUCUCGUCUGAUCUCGUAAGCUAAGCAGGGUCGGGCCUGGUUAGUACUUGGAUGGG